rnacentral:tRNA from 1 species
UCCCUAGUGGCUCAGAUGGUAAAGCAUCUGCCUUCAAUGUUGGAGACCCAGGUUCGAUCCCUAGGUGGGGAA